AAUUUGGCAGUUGGCUGGUUUCUGUUGGAGAUUUUAAACGAACGCACCUAAAAUCAGUAUGUCUAGCAACCGUACCGACGACACACCAACCGAGAUCGUACCAACCGACGAAGCAUCAACGGGACUUACAGUCGAUUCCGAGUACUUCGAAAAUGUAUUGAGGCUAUUGAAAGAAGUAGUACAGAAGCAAAACCAGCUGGAGCAAAGAUUAAACAAUGAAAUGGUGACAAAAGCGGAGUUUGCUGCCCACAACAAAAUGUUAUGCGAAAUGAAGGUAGCAACAAAGAAAAUUGAGGUAUGUUUUUGCAAGAUGACAGGCGAAGGUAGCGACUCAAUAAUGGACGCAAUAGCAAGUAUGGUGCCUAUGACAACGAUGGCCGCCGUACUCGAAGUGGAGGAAAAGUGGGCAGACCCGAACUACACCCAAGCUAUGGUAUUGACUUGAACACUUCAAUCUCAAAUUUUAAACUUUUAAUCAUAUUUAUAUUUCAGAAAACGUAUCUCCUCAAAAUAAAAGGUGUCUCUGACGACGUUGACGUUGUAGUCAAACAUUUGUUACAGGUUCAACUGGGAGGGUAAGUGGCAAAAGCGUGCCCUGGCGGAGCUGACUAUGGUGGACAAAGUGCUAAGUGAUAUUUACAAAACGCUUGGCGUUGCCGGAUUUGAAAGGAACGUGAGAAAAUCGGUAGGGCUCAGUCACAAUCGAUUGAAAAAAAUUUCUAAAAAGGAACAAAAAAAAAAUAGAUUUUUUCAUAUAUUCUUCUGAUUAUUCCUUUUUCUUAUU